rnacentral:RNase_P_RNA from 1 species
CCGGAGGGUCCGUCGCUCGCCUGCGCAAUGAGGGGCGAGAGGAAAGUCCGGGCAACGCAGAGCACCAUAUUUGCUAACGGCAAGCUAUCGGCAACGGUAGAGUAAUGUGACAGAAAAUAACCGCCCCCUCGGGGGUAAGGGUGAAAAGGCGAGGUAAGAGCUCACCGGGCGCAACGGCAACAUUGCGCGCCGCACAUCUUAUGGGUUGCAAGGUCAAGUAUACCGGCAUUCAAGGGCUGCUCGUCCAUUGCCGGGGGGUAGACUGCUAAAUCCUGCUUCGGCAGGCAGAUAAAUGGCGGACGGCAUCGGCCAACUCUUCGGAUAGUAGCUGAACCACAUAACCCGGCUUAUACUCCGAC